CCGCCUGGGUACUACAAGCAGCAGCUUAAAACCCAAAGGACUUGGCGGUGCUUUACACCCACCUAGAGGAGCCUGUCCUAAAACCGAUAACCCCCGUUAAACCUCACCUCCCCUUGUUUUUACCGCCUGUAUACCGCCGUCGUCAGCUUACCUUGUGAAAGAAUAAUAGUAAGCAGAAUUGUUAAUACCCAAAACGUCGGGUCGAGGUGCAGCAAAUGGGAAAGAAAGAGAUGGGCUACCUUCAUCAGAUGAUGAAAACGAAUGAUUAUUUGAAAAUUAGUCUGAAGGAGGAUUUAGCAGUAAAUAGGGAAUAAACAGCCC
rnacentral:rRNA from 1 species